rnacentral:lncRNA from 1 species
CAUGACUUUAACACCUAAUUUUACAAUUCUCAAUACACUGCAUUAGUUCUGUUAUUGAAUGUAUGAUUACAAGAAAAAUUUCUGGCUGAUAUAAGCCUCAUUCCAGUUUUCAUAAAACCAAGUGAUGUCGCCAUUCCACAGCUUCACGCUUCUGACUACGCAUUGCGAAGGCAGAAUUUGGAGUUCAGAGGCUGAGGUCCACACCCUGGUUUUCCUAGUGCUGUCAGUCACAAUGCUUAAAUACCACACCCUUUAGCUACCUCACGGGAAAGACCACUUGCGUGUCACCUGCCUGGGUCUGGCAGAAGGAGGCUCAAUUGAUUGGGUCGCCUUGGCAGUAAAUCUGGCCCAGUUGUUUCCACCUGAGAAAUCUGGAAAGAAUGCAAUGAAAAUGUCGGACUUCUCAAAGUUGCAGGACAAAUGAAGAACCGAAGAAUUUUCACUGAAGAGGGAAGAGCCCAAACACAAUCUGGUGUUUGAACAGAUGUCAGUGUUACAGCCAUCAACGUACCUAAACUUUACAAAGGUAUCCAGAAACCAAGAUGCCGAACCCCAUAUAGAAAAUCACCUGGACAAGCAUGAUUCUAUGGUCAUCACAGAACAGCAUGUGCUACAUGGAAUUCAGCUUUGCAUCAUGUUUAUAGAUGGAUAUUAUGUCCCUUCCUUGGUCCCCUGGAGUAAGCAUCCUUAGAGGACAAGGACCCAUUACCCAGUUCAGCCAUCACUGUUAACUGGUGGAGAUGAUGAUGCACGGCUGAAUAAAAGGAUGCUUAAUGGAACCCA